rnacentral:rRNA from 1 species
UACGAAGGGGACUAGCGUUGUUCGGAAUCACUGGGCGUAAAGCGCACGUAGGCGGAUAUGUCAGUCAGGGGUGAAAUCCCGGGGCUCAACCUCGGAACUGCCCUUGAUACAGCAUAUCUUGAGUCCGAUAGAGGUGGGUGGAAUUCCUAGUGUAGAGGUGAAAUUCGUAGAUAUUAGGAAGAACACCGGUGGCGAAGGCGGCCCACUGGAUCGGUACUGACGCUGAGGUGCGAAAGCGUGGGGAGCAAACAGGAUUGAGAAACCCCUG